rnacentral:ncRNA from 2 species
AGUAAAACAACAAGUGCUAGUACUUUAAGUACAGCUUAAUAGGGAAGCAAGUGGAAGUCCUGCACGGUCCCGCCGCUGUGAAGGGGAAAUACUUUAUCAAAUGCCACAUCCGCAUAUACUAGACAUUCAACUUGAUAUAAACUUGCUAACGAUGGGCAAGAUAC